UAACAAUGGCUAAUGAAGUAACGAAGUAUCGGCAAGGGGAACUCUUGGAACCCUUGAAAUAAUUGGGGUUUGAGAAUUAUUAAUUUUCUCUCUUCUAAUGAAAUCCAUAAACUUGAUGAAAGUUUUGAAUAACGUAUAAUAGUGCUUUCAUAAACAAAUCAGCUCUCUCUAGAAAACACUACAAAACUAUAACAACAUAUUGUGCUUACCCU
rnacentral:lncRNA from 1 species